rnacentral:Y_RNA from 1 species
GGUUGGUCUGAGUACAGUGAUAUUUAUCACUAAUUGAUCACAACCAGUUACACAUUUCUUUAUUCCUUCUCCAUUCCCAAUGCUUCAUGUCACUAGCCUUAA